UCAGAUAUUUUAAACUUCAUAGAAUCACAGAAUUUCCCUAGUUGGAAGGGACCCACAAGGAUCAUUGAGUCCAACUCCUAGUUCCACACAGGACCACCCAAAAAAUCAAACCAUGUGUCUCAGAGCAUUGUCCAAAGGAUUCAUUACU